rnacentral:lncRNA from 13 species
AUGCUUCUUUAUUGUUUACACCUGAAGGACAUACAGAGUUAUUGUAAUGAAUGUAUGAGGAGUUAUUGCAAUGGUCUUAUUGUAACCCAUACAGUAGCUGUUUCUGUUUCAGACAGGUCAGGCUGCUUCUGUUUCAGACAGGUCAGGCUGUUUCUGUUUCAGACAGGUCAGGCUGAAUCAGGCUGUUUCUAUUUCAGACAGGUGAGGCUGAAUCAGGCUGUUUCUGUUUCAGACAGGUCAGGCUGUUUCUGUUUCAGACAGGUGAGGCUUAAUCAGGCUGUUUCGACUCACAAUGCCUCCUCCAGUUCUGGAUGUACAGCUUUCUCACCAGGCUGUAUUCACAACUACAUUUCAGGAAGCAGGUCUCAGUAUUCAUGGGAAGUAACAGUGUUGUCUUCAUCAGGAGAUAAUGUGCUCUAUGUGUAUUCCGCGAGGCACUAAAUCCAGUUUGGAAAUUAAUCUGUCAUUGUGGACGGCUCACAUUGAUUCUUCUGUGGACAUCUCUUUCCAUCAUCCCAUAGCUUGGGGUGAAUCUCUGCUACUAGGUAAACACAACUCACUAGCCACACUACAGCCAGGAUUACAGAUGACACACACAUGCAUGGAUGCAUGCACACAUACACACAUGCACACAAACAUACACCAUUCAUUAAUUUAGGUAUAAGAGUUUAACAUAAAAAAUCAUUGUAGUCAAUUUUUCAUCUCCUUUCACCUUUUCAAUAAUGAUACAUGUCUAUCCUUUCACCUUUUCAGUAAUGACACAUGUCUAUCCUUUCACAUUUUCAGUAAUGAUACAUGUCUAUCCUUUCACCUUUUCAGUAAUGAUACAUGUAUAUCCUUCCACCUUUACAGUAAUGAUCAUGUCUAUCCUUUCACCUUUUCAGUAAUGAUGCAUGUCUAUCCUUUCACCUUUUCAGUAAUGAUACAUGUCUAUCCUUUCACCUUUUCAGUAAUGAUACAUGUCUAUCCUUUCACCUUUACAGUAAUGAUACAUGUCUAUCCUUUCACCUUUUCAGUAAUGAUACAUGUCUAUCCUUUCACCUUUUCAGUAAUGAUACAUGUAUAUCCUUCCACCUUUACAGUAAUGAUCAUGUCUAUCCUUUCACCUUUUCAGUAAUGAUACAUGUCUAUCCUUUCACCUUUACAGUAAUGAUCAUGUCUAUCCUUUCAACUUUUCAGUAAUGAUACAUGUCUAUCAUUUCACCUUUACAGUAAUGAUACAUGUCUAUCCUUUCGGUUUGUUAAUCUCAUUUUUGUUCACCCAUGAGAUCAUUUUAUAUUUUGGAUGGACUACUCUGAUUUGCCAUUACAAUAUUGUCUAAAAAAAACUGUUCACAAUACAUACGGGGGUUGUAGACAUCAGUGAGGGUGGAGGGAGUGAAUGGCAUGGCUCAGUGCUCUGGCUGCAACAGUAAUAGAUGACGACCAAGAGAACCAGCUCCCUAGUCAUUUUACAUGCAAAUGUAUAAAGAAGUAAUAGCCAGCAAUGAGGAAAUCACCAGGGAUCAGACGUCCCAGUUUUCAUUCAGUCUGUAAUAAGACAAAAAAAAACUGAACGCAAACUCCUAUUAGUCCUAAAGAUGGCUUGUAAAGUCAUUUCCCACAUGUAACAGCUUGUUGUAUUUCCUCAAUCAAGAAAAUAAAUCAGAUGAAUUGACGUCAUGGGCUGUGUUCUGUCUGGAGCCCCCAUGUUCCCCACACCAUAAGAGAUGUGUGACUACUGUACAUUACUGUUGGAUUCUUACUGGGCUUUACCCACCCCCAUCUCUCUUUCUCUCUCUCUCUCGCUCUCUCUCUCUCUCUUUUCCCUCUCUCUCGCUCACUCUCUCGCUCUCUCUCACUCUUUUCCUCUCUCUGUGGGGCUUUUCUCUGUUCUGUCUCAGUAUGGCCUCACAAGGGAGCUCCUUUCCUGCCUGGCCAACUUCAAACAGCAGGGCAGAUAAAGUAUGAGACAGCAGGAUAAAACUCAGCACACACUAUUUAAGGCAUGGCUACAGGAUUCAUUGGAGCCCUGGAUCAUCAGAUAAGACUGUAUUACACUGAGCUGGAUGAUUUAACACUCUGGUGUCAUAGCCACUCUCACCUACAGUAUCUAUUCACACUUUAUACAUCUGGCCAGCUGGGUUUACUGAAAUACCAUGUAAUACAUUUACAGUGCCUUGCGAAAGUAUUCGGCCCCCUUGAACUUUGCGACCUUUUGCCACAUUUCAGGCUUCAAACAUAAAGAUAUAAAACUGUAUUUUUUUGUGAAGAAUCAACAACAAGUGGGACACAAUCAUGAAGUGGAACGACAUUUAUUGGAUAUUUCAAACUUUUUUAACAAAUCAAAAACUGAAAAAUUGGGCGUGCAAAAUGAUUCAGCCCCCUUAAGUUAAUACUUUGUAGCGCCACCUUUUGCUGCGAUUACAGCUGUAAGUCGCUUGGGGUAUGUCUCUAUCAGUUUUGCACAUCGAGAGACUGAAAUGUUUUCCCAUUCCUCCUUGCAAAACAGCUCGAGCUCAGUGAGGUUGGAUGGAGAGCAUUUGUGAACAGCAGUUUUCAGUUCUUUCCACAGAUUCUCGAUUGGAUUCAGGUCUGGACUUUG